rnacentral:rRNA from 1 species
AGAGUUUGAUCAUGGCUCAGAUUGAACGCUGGCGGCAGGCCUAACACAUGCAAGUCGAACGGUAACAGGAAGCAGCUUGCUGCUUUGCUGACGAGUGGCGGACGGGUGAGUAAUGUCUGGGAAACUGCCUGAUGGAGGGGGAUAACUACUGGAAACGGUGGCUAAUACUGCAUAACGUCGCAAGACCAAAGAGGGGGACCUUCGGGCCUCUUGCCAUCAGAUGUGCCCAGAUGGGAUUAGCUAGUUGGUGAGGUAACGGCUCACCAAGGCGACGAUCCCUAGCUGGUCUGAGAGGAUGACCAGCCACACUGGAACUGAGACACGGUCCAGACUCCUACGGGAGGCAGCAGUGGGGAAUAUUGCACAAUGGGCGCAAGCCUGAUGCAGCCAUGCCGCGUGUAUGAAGAAGGCCUUCGGGUUGUAAAGUACUUUCAGCGGGGAGGAAGGUGUUGUGGUUAAUAACCGCAGCAAUUGACGUUACCCGCAGAAGAAGCACCGGCUAACUCCGUGCCAGCAGCCGCGGUAAUACGGAGGGUGCAAGCGUUAAUCGGAAUUACUGGGCGUAAAGCGCACGCAGGCGGUCUGUCAAGUCGGAUGUGAAAUCCCCGGGCUCAACCUGGGAACUGCAUUCGAAACUGGCAGGCUUGAGUCUUGUAGAGGGGGGUAGAAUUCCAGGUGUAGCGGUGAAAUGCGUAGAGAUCUGGAGGAAUACCGGUGGCGAAGGCGGCCCCCUGGACAAAGACUGACGCUCAGGUGCGAAAGCGUGGGGAGCAAACAGGAUUAGAUACCCUGGUAGUCCACGCCGUAAACGAUGUCUACUUGGAGGUUGUGCCCUUGAGGCGUGGCUUCCGGAGCUAACGCGUUAAGUAGACCGCCUGGGGAGUACGGCCGCAAGGUUAAAACUCAAAUGAAUUGACGGGGGCCCGCACAAGCGGUGGAGCAUGUGGUUUAAUUCGAUGCAACGCGAAGAACCUUACCUGGUCUUGACAUCCACAGAACUUUCCAGAGAUGGAUUGGUGCCUUCGGGAACUGUGAGACAGGUGCUGCAUGGCUGUCGUCAGCUCGUGUUGUGAAAUGUUGGGUUAAGUCCCGCAACGAGCGCAACCCUUAUCCUUUGUUGCCAGCGGUUAGGCCGGGAACUCAAAGGAGACUGCCAGUGAUAAACUGGAGGAAGGUGGGGAUGACGUCAAGUCAUCAUGGCCCUUACGACCAGGGCUACACACGUGCUACAAUGGCGCAUACAAAGAGAAGCGACCUCGCGAGAGCAAGCGGACCUCAUAAAGUGCGUCGUAGUCCGGAUUGGAGUCUGCAACUCGACUCCAUGAAGUCGGAAUCGCUAGUAAUCGUGGAUCAGAAUGCCACGGUGAAUACGUUCCCGGGCCUUGUACACACCGCCCGUCACACCAUGGGAGUGGGUUGCAAAAGAAGUAGGUAGCUUAACCUUCGGGAGGGCGCUUACCACUUUGUGAUUCAUGACUGGGGUGAAGUCGUAACAAGGUAACCGUAGGGGAACCUGCGGUUGGAUCACCU